UACGUAGGGUGCGAGCGUUAAUCGGAAUUACUGGGCGUAAAGCGUGCGCAGGCGGUUCGUUGUGUCGGCGGUGAAAGCCCCGGGCUUAACCUGGGAAUGGCCGUCGAAACUGGCGAACUGGAGUGUGGCAGAGGGGGGUGGAAUUCCGCGUGUAGCAGUGAAAUGCGUAGAGAUGUGGAGGAAUACCGAUGGCGAAGGCAGCCCCCUGGGCCAACACUGACGCUCAUGCACGAAAGCGUGGGGAGCAAACAGG
rnacentral:rRNA from 1 species